rnacentral:rRNA from 1 species
UACGUAGGGUGCAAGCGUUGUCCGGAAUUAUUGGGCGUAAAGAGCUCGUAGGCGGUUUGUCGCGUCGAAUGUGAAAGCCCGAGGCUCAACCUCGGAACUGCCUUCGAUACUGCGGGUCUCGAGUCCGGGAGAGGUGAGUGGAAUUCCUGGUGUAGCGGUGAAAUGCGCAGAUAUCAGGAAGAACACCCGUGGCGAAGGCGGCUCUCUGGGACGGUACUGACGCUGAGACGCGAAAGCGUGGGGAGCGAACAGG